GACGAACGCUGGCGGCGUGCUUAACACAUGCAAGUCGAGCGGAAAGGCCCUGCUUUUGUUGGUUGCUCGAUUGCCGCACGGGUGAGUAACACGUGAGUAACCUGCCCUUGACUUUGGGAUAACUUCAGGAAACUGGGGCUCUUACCGGAUAGAAGCUCCUGCUCCGUGGUGUGGGUUGGUAAGUUUCGGCGGUUGGGGCUGGACUCUCGGCUUAUCCGCUUGUUUGUGGGGUAGUGGCUUUCCAAGGCUUUGACGGGUAGCCGGCCUGAGAGGGUUGCCGGCGACAUGGGGACUGAGAUACGGCGCAGAAGCGUACGGGAGGCAGCAGUGGGGAAUAUUGCACAAUGGGCGGAAGCCUGAGGCAGAAACGCCGCGUGCGGGAUGACGGCUUUCGGGUUGUAAACCGCUGUCGAAGGUGACGAAGCGUGAGUGACGGUAAUGGGUAAAGAAGCACCGGCUAACUACGUG
rnacentral:rRNA from 1 species